GCUCCCGUAGCUCAGUGGAUAGAGCACUCGCCUCCUAAGCGAGGGGUCGCAAGUUCAAGUCUUGCCGGGAGCA
rnacentral:tRNA from 1 species